UUUAAAUCGUAAGAGUCCAGUUUCGCCAUUUUCUCCCGAACAUUGUGGCACCCUCUGUGCAGAACUUGCACACUCGCAGUCAGCUCUUCACCACCUCACUCACGGAGAUCACCACCCCGGUAAUUAGGGAUUCACUUCGGCAUCUACUUUUGUGUUCGUUAUUGGCUUAAUUUCUC
rnacentral:sRNA from 1 species